rnacentral:lncRNA from 1 species
GUAGAAUCUGCAACUGGACCUGUGGAGUGCUUUGGGGCCUAUCAUGGAAAAGGAAAUAUCUUCACAUAAAACCUAGACAGAAGCAUUCUGACAAACUUCUUUGUGAUGUGUGCAUUCAUCUCACAGAGUUGAACCUUACUUUUCAUUGAGCAGCUUUGAAACACUCUUUCUGUAGAAUCUGGAAGUGGACAUUUGCAGCACUUUGAGGCCUAUGGUGGAAAAGAAAAUAUCUUCACAUCAAAACAAGACAGAAGCUUUUUGAAAAACUUCUUUGUGACAUGUGCAUUCAUCUCAGAGAGUUGAACCUUUCCUUUGUUUGAGCAGCUUUGAAACAAUCUUUUUGUAGAAUCUGCAAGUGAACCAUUCGAGCGUCUUGGGGUCUAUGGUGGAAAAUGAAACAUCUUCACAUAAAAACUAGACAGAAAAAUUCUGAGAAUCUUCUUUGUGAUGUGUGCAUUCACCUCACAGAAUUGAACGUUACUUUUCAUUGAGCAGUCUUGCAUCUCUCUUUUUGUAGAAUCUGCAAGUGGACAUUUGGAGCGCCUUGAGGUCUCUGGUGGAAAAGGAAAGAUCUUCACAUGAAAACUAGACAGAAGCAUUCUCACAAACUUCCUUGUGAUGUGUGCAUUCAUCUCCCAGACUUGAAACUUUCUUUUGAUUGAGCAGCUUUGAAACACGCUUUUUGUAGAAUCUGCAAGUGGACAUUUGGAGCACUUUGAGGCCUAUGGUGGAAAAGGGAAUAUUUUCACAUAAAAAUUAGACAGAUGCAUCCUGACAAGCUUCUUUGUGAUGUGUGCAUUCAUCUCACAGAGUUGUAACUUUCUUUUGAUUGAGCAGCUUUGAAACACUCUUUUUGUAGAAUCUGCAAGUGGACAUUGGAGCACUUUGAGGCCUAUUAUGGAAAAUUAAAUAUCUUCACAUAAAAUCUAGACAGAAGCAUUAUGACAAACUUAUUUGUGAUGUGUGUGUUCAUCUCAUAGAGUUGAACCUUUCUUUUGAUUGAGCAGUUUGGAAACACUCUUUUUGUAGAAUCUGCAAGUGGACAUUUUGAGCACUUUGAGGCCAAUGUGGAAAAGGUAAUAUCUUCAUAUAAAAACUAGAUAGAAGCAUUCUGAGAAACUUCUUUGUGAUGUGUGCAUUCACCUCCCAGAGUUGAAUCUUUCCUUUGAAGGACCAGUUUUGAAAUACUCUUUUUGAAGAAUCUGCAAGUGGACAUUUAAAGCGCUUUGUGUGCUAUGGUAGAAUAGGAAAUAUCCUCACAUAAAAUCUAGACAGAAGGAAUCUGAGAAACUUCUUUGUGAUGUGUGCAUUUAUCUCACCAUGUUAAACCUUUCUUUGGAUUGAGCAGUUUUGAAACUCUCAUUUGUAGAAGCUGCAAGUAGACCUUUGGAGCGGUUUGAGGCCUAUCCUGGAAAAGAGAAUAUCUUAACAUAAUAACUAGACAGAAGAAUUCUGAGAAACUUCUUUGUGAUUUAUGCGGUCAUCUCACAGAGUCGAAACUUUCUUUUAUUUAGCAUUUUGGAAACAAUCUUUUUGAUGAUUCUGCUAGCGGACCUUUGGAGCGCUUUGCAGCCUAUGGCAGUAAAGAAAAUAUCUUCACAUAAAAUCUAGACAGAAGGAAUUUGAGAAACUUUUUGUGAUGUGUCUAUUCAUCUCACAGAGUUAAACCUUUCUUCUGAUUGUGCAGUUUUGAAACUCUGUUUUUGUAGAAAACGCAAGUUGACAUUUUUAGCACUUUGAGGCCUAUGGUGUAAAAGGAAAUAUCUUCACAUAAAAACUAGACAGAAGAUUUCUGAGAAACAUCAUUGUGAUGUGUGCGUUCAUCUCACAGUGUUGAACCUUUCUUUUGAUUGAACAGUUUUGAAACACUGUUUUUGUAUAAUCUGCAAUUGGACAUUUGGAGCGCUUUGCUGUCUAAGGUAGAAAAGGAAAUAUCUUCAUAUAGCAUCUAGACUGAAGCAGUCUGAAAAACUUCUUUGUGAUGUGUGCAUUCAUCUCACAGAGUUAACUUUUUCUUUUCACUGAGCAAUUCUGAAAAUCUCUUUUUGUAGAAUCUGCAAGUGGACUUUUGGGGCGCUUUGAGGCCUAUGGUGGAAAUAGAAAUAUCUUCACAUAAGAACUAGACAGAAGCAUUCCGAGAUGUUUCUUUGUGAAGUGUGAAUUCAUCUCACAGAGUUGAAUUUUACUUUCAAUUGAGCAGUUUUGAAACACUCUUUUUGCAGAAUCUGCAAGUGGACAUCUGGAGUGCUUUGAGGUCUAUGGUGGAUAACGAAAUAUCUUCACAUAAUAACUAGACAGAAGCAUUCUCAGAAACUUCUUUGUGAUGUGUGCAUUCAACUCACAGAGUUGAACCUUUCUGUUGUUGGAGUAGCUUUGAAACACUCCUUUCAUAAAAUCUGCAAGUGGACAUUGGGAGCGCUUUGAGGCCUCUGGUGGAAAAGAAAACAUCUUCACAUAAAAACUAAACAGAAGCAUUCUGUCAAAUUUCUUUGUGAUCUGUGCAUUCAUCUCACAGAGCUGAGCCUUUCUUUUCAUUGAGCAGUUUGGAAAUGCUCUUUUUGUACAAUGUGCUUGUGGACAUUUGGAGCACUUUUAGGACUAUGGUGGAAAAGGAGAUAUCUUCAGAUAAAAACUAGACCAAAGCAUUCUGACAACCUUCUUUGUGAUAUGUGUAUUCAUCUCACACAGUUGAAACUUACUUUUGAUUGGGCAGUUUUGAAACAUCCUUUUUGUGGAAUCUGCAGGAGGAUAUUUGGAGGGCUUUGAUGCCUAUUGUGGGGCCUAUUGUGGAAUAGGAAAUAUCUUCACAUUAAAACUAGAUAGAAACAUUCUGAGAAUCUUCUUUGUUAUGUGUGCAUUAAUCUCAGAGAGUUGAACCUUUCUUUGAUUGAGCAGUUUUGGAACACUCUUUUUGUACAAUCUGCAAGUGGAUGUUUGGAGCGCUUUCAGGACUAUUGUGGAAAAGGAAAUAUCUUCAAAUAAAAACUAAACAGAAGCAUUCUGAGAAACUUGCUUGAGAUGUGUUCAUUCAUCUCACAGAGGUGAACAUUUCUUUUGAUUGAGCUGUUGGAAACACUCUUUUUGUAGAAUCUGCAAGUGGACAUUUGGAGUGCUUUGUAGCCUAUGGUAGAAAAGGUAACAUCUUCACAUAAAAUAUAGACAGAAGCAAUCUGAGAAAUUUUUUGCGAUGUGUGCACUCAGCUCAGAGAGAUAAACCUUUCUUUUGAUUAAGCAGUUUUGAAACUGUCUUUUUGUAGAAUCUGCAAGUGCACAUUUGGAGCGCUUUCAGGCCUAUUUUGGAAAAGGAAAUAUCUUCGCAUAAAAACUAGACAGAAGAAUUCUAAGAAACUUCUUUGUGAUGUGUGCGUUCAUCUCAGAGAGUUGAACCUUUCUUUUGAUUGAGCAGUUUGGAAACACUCUUUUUGUACAACCUGCAAGUGGACAUUUGGAGGGCUUUGCAGCCUAUGGUAGGAAAGGAAAUAUCUUCACAUAAAAUCUAGACAGAAGCAAUCUGAGAAACUUCUUUGUGGUGUGUGCAUAUAUCUCAGAGUUAAACCAUUCUUUUUAUUGAGCAGUUUUGAAACUCUCUUUUUGUAGAAUCUGCAAGUGGACAUUUGGAGCGAUUUGAGGCCUAUGGUGGAAAAGGUAAUAUCUUCACAUAAAAACUACACAGAAGAAUUCUGAGAAACUUCUUUGUGAUGUGUGUGUUCCUCCCACAGAGUUGAACCUUUCUUUUGAUUGAGCAACUUGGAAAUACUCUUUUUGUAGAAUCUGCAAGUGGACAUUUAGAGCAUUUUGCGGCCUAUGGUGGAAGAAUAAGUAUCUUCACAUAAGAACUAGACAGAAGAAUUUUGAGAAACGUCUUUCUCAUGUGCUCAUUCAUCUCACAGAGUUGAACCUUUCUUCUUAUUGAGCAGUUUGGAAACACUCUUUUUGUAGAAUCUGCAAGUGGACAUUUGGAGCGAUUUGCUGCCUAUGGUAGAAAAGGAAAUAUCUUCAUAUAAAAUCUCGAUAGAACUAAUCUGAGAAACUUCUUUACGAUGUGGGCAUUCAUCUCACAGAGUAAAACCUUUCUUUUGAUUUAGGAGUUUUGAAACUCUCUUUUUGUAGCAUCUGCAAGUGGACAUUUGGAGCGCUUUGAGACCUGUGAUGGAAAAGGAAAUAUCUUCACAUAAAAACUACACUGAAGAAUUCUGUGAAACUUCUUUGUGAUGUGAGCGUUCGUCUCUCAGAGUUGAAACUUUCUUUUCAUUGAGAAGUUUGGAAACACUCUUUUUGGAGUAUCUGAAAGUGGACAUUUUGUGUGCUUUGCGGCCUAUGGUAGAAAAGUAAAUAUCUUCAUAUAAAAUCUAGACAGAAGCAAUCUGAGAAACAUUUCUGUUAUGUGUGCAUUCAUCUCACAGAGUUAAACCUUUUUUUGAUUGAGCAGUUUUGAAACUCUCUUUUUCAAGAAUCUGCAAGUGGACAUUUGGAGUGCAUAGAGGCCUAUGGUGGAAAAGGAAAUAACUUCACAUAAAAACUAGACAGAAGAAUGCUCAGAAACUUUGUGAUGUGUGUGUUCAUCUCACAGAGUUGAAUCAUUCUUUUAAUUGAGCAGUUUGGAAACACUCGUUUUGUAGAAUCUGCAAGUGGACAUUUGGAACGCUUUGCAGCCUAUGGUAGAAAAAGAAAUAUCUUCACAUAAAAUCUAGAAAGAAGCAAUCUGAGAAACUACUUUUGUGAUGUGCGCAUUCAUCUCACAGAGUUAAACCUCUCUUCUGAUUCAACAGUUUUGAAACUCUCUUUUUCUAGAAUCUGAAAGUGGACAUUUGGGGCACUUUGAGACCUGUAGUGGAAGAGGAAAUAUCUUCACAUAAAAACUAGACAGAAGAAUUCUGAGAAACCUCUUUGUGAUGUGUGCAUUCAUCUCACAGAGUUGAACCUUUCUUUUGAUUGAGCAGUUGGAAGCACUCUUUUUGUGGAGUCUGCAGGUGGAUAUUUGGAGGGCUUCGAGGCCUGUUGUGGGGCCUAUUGGGGAAUAGAAAAUAUCUUCACAUUAAAGCUAGACAGAAGAAUUCUGAGAAAUUUCUUUGUGAUGUGUGCAUUAAUCUCACAGAGUUGAACCUUUCUUUUGAUGAGCAGUUUUGAAACACUCUUUUUGUAGAAUCUGCAAUUGGAUGUUUGGAGCGCUUUCAGGAUUAUUGUGGAAAAGGAAAUAUGUUCAAAUAAAAACUAGACAGAAGCAUUCUGAGAAAUUGUUUGUGAUGUGUUCAUUCAUCUCACAGAGUUGAACUUUUCUUUUGAUUGAGCUGUUGGAAACACUCUUUUUCAAGAAUCUGCAAGUGGACAUUUGGAGCGCUUUGUGGCUUAUGGUAGAAAAGGAAACAUCUUCACAUAAAAUCUAGACAGAAGCAAUCUGAUAAAUUUU